rnacentral:rRNA from 1 species
GACGAACGCUGGCGGCGUGCUUAACACAUGCAAGUCGAACGGAAAGGCCUGCCUUCCCUUGUGGACUGCGGGUACUCGAGUGGCGAACGGGUGAGUAACACGUGGGUGAUCUGCCCCCAACUUGGGUAUAAGCCUGGGAAACUGGGUCUAAUUCCCGAUAGGACUGCAGGGUGGUGCCUGUGGUGGAAAACGAUUUUCUAGUGGUUGGGGAUGAGCUCGCGGCCUAUCAGCUUGUUGGUGGGGUAAUGGCCUACCAAGGCGGCGACGGGUAGCCGGCCUGGGAGGGUGGACGGCCACAUUGGGACUGAGAUACGGCCCAGACUCCUACGGGAGGCAGCAGUGGGGAAUAUUACACAAUGGGCGGAAGCCUGAUGCAGCGACGCCGCGUGGGGGAUGACGGCCUUCGGGUUGUAAACUCCUUUCGACCGCGAGGAAGCCACCUGGUUGGAAGGGUGGUGACGGUAGUGGUAGAAGAAGCACCGGCUAACUACGUG